rnacentral:rRNA from 1 species
UACGUAGGGUGCAAGCGUUGUCCGGAAUUAUUGGGCGUAAAGAGCUCGUAGGCGGUCUGUCGCGUCGGCUGUGAAAUCCCGGGGCUCAACCCCGGGCCUGCAGUCGAUACGGGCAGGCUAGAGUGCGGUAGGGGAGACUGGAAUUCCUGGUGUAGCGGUGAAAUGCGCAGAUAUCAGGAGGAACACCGGUGGCGAAGGCGGGUCUCUGGGCCGUAACUGACGCUGAGGAGCGAAAGCGUGGGGAGCGAACGGG